UACGGAGGGUGCAAGCGUUAAUCGGAAUUACUGGGCGUAAAGCGCACGUAGGCGGUUCGUUAAGUCGGAUGUGAAAUCCCCGGGCUCAACCUGGGACCUGCAUUCGAUACUGGCGAACUUGAGUAUGAUAGAGGGGGGUGGAAUUCCAGGUGUAGCGGUGAAAUGCGUAGAUAUCUGGAGGAAGGCCGGUGGCGAAGGCGGCCCUCUGGCGCUGAACUGACACUGAGGCGCGAAAGCGUGGGGAUCAAACAGGAUUAGAUACCCCGGUAGU
rnacentral:rRNA from 1 species